CAGAGAGACAGGAGAGAGGGGUUAGGGAGACGUUAGAGAGGUUAGAGAGACAGGGGAGAGGGGUUAGAGAGACGUUAGAGAGGUUAGAGAGACAGCAGAGAGGGGUUAGGGAGACGUUAGAGAGGUUAGAGAGACAGGGGAGAGGGGUUAGAGAGACGUUAGAGAGGUUAGCGACAGCAGAGAGGGGUUAGGGAGACGUUAGAGAGGUUAGAGAGACAGGGGAGAGGGGUUAGAGAGACGUUAGAGAGGUUAGAGAGACAGGAGAGAGGGGUUAGAGAGACGUUAGAGAGGUUAGAGAGACAGGGGAGAGGGGUUAGACAGACGUUAGAGAGGUUAGAGAGACAGGAGAGAGGGGUUAGGGAGACGUUAGAGAGGUUAGAGAGACAGCAGAGAGGGGUUAGAGAGACGUUAGAGAGGUUAGAGAGACAGCAGAGAGGGGUUAGGGAGACGUUAGAGGUUAGAGAGACAACAGAGAGGGGUUAGGGAGACGUUAGAGAGGUUAGAGAGACAGCAGAGAGGGGUUAGAGAGACGUUAGAGAGACAGGAGAGAGGGGUUAGGGAGCCGUUAGAGAGACAGGGGAGAGGGGUUAGAGAGACGUUAGAGAGGUUAGAGAGACAGGAGAGAGGGGUUAGAGAGACGUUAGAGAGGUUAGAGAGACAGCAGAGAGGGGUUAGGGAGACGUUAGAGAGGUUAGAGAGACAGCAGAGAGGGGUUAGAGAGAGGUUAGAGAGACAGCAGAGAGGGGUUAGGGAGACGUUAGAGAGGUUAGAGAGACAGCAGAGAGGGGUUAGGGAGACGUUAGAGAGGUUAGAGAGACAGCAGAGAGGGGUUAGGGAGACGUUAGAGAGGUUAGAGAGACAGCAGAGAGGGGUUAGAGAGACGUUAGAGAGGUUAGAGAGACAGGAGAGAGGGGUUAGGGAGACGUUAGAGAGACAGCAGAGAGGGGUUAGAGAGAUGUUAGAGAGGUUAGAGAGACAGCAGAGAGGGGUUAGGGAGACGUUAGAGAGGUUAGAGAGACAGCAGAGAGGGGUUAGAGAGACGUUAGAGAGGUUAGAGAGACAACAGAGAGGGGUUAGGGAGACGUUAGAGAGGUUAGAGAGACAGCAGAGAGGGGUUAGGGAGACGUUAGAGCGGUUAGAGAGAAAGGAGAGAGAGAAAGGACUGAGAGGUUAGAGAGAGAUGAGAGAGAGGUUAGAGAGACAGGAGAGAGAGAUUAAAGAGACAGGAGGGAGAGGUUAGAGAGACGUUAGAGCGGUUAGAGAGAAAGGAGAGAGAGAAAGGACUGAGAGGUUAGAGAGAGAUGAGAGAGAGGUUAGAGAGACAGGAGAGAGAGAUUAGAGAGAAAUGAGAGAUAUGUUAGAGAGACAAGUUAGAGAGACAGGAGAGAGAGGUUAGAGAGACAGGAGAGAGAGGUUAGAGAGAAAGGAGAGAGAGGUUAAAGAGAAAGGAGAGAGAGGUUAGAGAGCAAGGAGAGAGAGGUUAGAGAGCAAGGAGAGAGAGGUUAGAGAGCAAGGAGAGAGAGGUUAGAGAGAGAUGAGAGUGGGGUUAGAGAGGUUAGAGGGACAGGAGAGAGGUUAGAAAGACAGAAGAGAGAGAUUAGAGAGACAGGAUAGAGAGGUUAGAGACACAUGAGAGAGGGGUUAGAGAGACAGGAGAGAGAGGUUAGAGAGAAAGGAGACAGAGGUUAGAGAGACAGGAGAGAGAGGUUAGAGAGACAGGAGAGAGGGGUUAGUGAGACGUUAGAGAGACAGGACAGAGGUUAGAGAGACAGCAGAGAGAGGUCAGAGAGAAAGGAGAGAGAGUUUAGAGAGACAGGAGAGAGGGGUUAGAGAGAGAUGAGAGAGAGGUUAGAGAGACAGGAGAGAGAGGUUAGAUACAGGAGAGAGAGGUUAGAGAGACAGGAGAGAGAGGUUAGAGAGACAGGGGAGAGAGGUUAGAGAGACGUUAGAGAGGUUAGAGAGAAAGGAGAGAGAGAAAUGAGAGAGAGGUUAGAGAGCAAGGAGAGAGAGGUUAGAGAGACAGGAGAGAGAGAUUAGAGAGAAAUGAGAGAGAUGUUAGAGAGACAGGUUAGAGAGACAGGAGAGAGAGAUUAUAGAGACAGGAUAGAGAGGUUAGAGACACAGGAGAGAGGGGUUAGAGAGGUUAGAGACACAGGAGAGAGAGGUUAGAGAGACAGGAGAGAGAGGUUAGAGAGAAAGGAGAGAGAGGUUAGAGAGACAGGAGAGAGAGGUUAGAGAGACAUGAGAGAGGGGUUAGUGAGACGUUAGAGAGACAGGACAGAGAGGUUAGAGAGCAAUGAGAGAGAGGUUAGAGAGACAGCAGAGAGAGGUCAGAGAGAAAGGAGAGAGAGGUUAGGGAGACGUUAGAGAGGUUAGAGAGACAGCAGAGAGGGGUUAGGGAGACGUUAGAGAGGUUAGAGAGACAGGAGAGAGAGGUUAAAGAGACAGGAGAGAGAGGUUAGAGAGACAGCAGAGAGGGGUUAGAGAGACGUUAGAGAGGUUAGAGAGACAGGAGAGAGAGGUUAAAGAGACAGGAGGGAGAGGUUAGAGAGAGGUUAGAGAGAAAGGAGAGAGAGAAAGGAGAGAGAGGUUAGAGAGCAAGGAGAGAGAGGUGAGAGAGAGAUUAGAGAGAAAUGAGAGAGAUGUUAGAGAGACAGGUUAGAGAGACAGGAGAGAGAGAUUAUAGAGACAGGAUAGAGAGGUUAGAGACACAGGAGAGAGGGGUUAGAGAGGUUAGAGACACAGGAGAGAGAGGUUAGAGAGACAGGAGAGAGGUUAGAGAGAAAGGAGAGAGAGGUUAGAGAGACAGGAGAGAGAGGUUAGAGAGACAUGAGAGAGGGGUUAGUGAGACGUUAGAGAGACAGGACAGAGAGGUUAGAGAGCAAUGAGAGAGAGGUUAGAGAGACAGCAGAGAGAGGUCAGAGAGAAAGGAGAGAGAGGUUAGAGAGCAAUGAGAGAGGGGUUAGAGAGAGAUGAGAGAGAGGUUAGAGAGACAGGAGAGAGAGGUUAGAUACAGGAGAGAGAGGUCAGAGAGACAGGAGAGAGGUUAGAGAGACAGGGGAGAGAGGUUAGAGAGACGUUAGAGAGGUUAGAGAGAAAGGAGAGAGAGAAAUGAGAGAGAGGUUAGAGAGCAAGGAGAGAGAGGUUAGAGAGACAGGAGAGAGAGAUUAGAGAGAAAUGAGAGAGAUGUUAGAGAGACAGGUUAGAGAGACAGGAGAGAGAGAUUAUAGAGACAGGAUAGAGAGGUUAGAGACACAGGAGAGAGGGGUUAGAGAGGUUAGAGACACAGGAGAGAGAGGUUAGAGAGACAGGAGAGAGAGGUUAGAGAGAAAGGAGAGAGAGGUUAGAGAGACAGGAGAGAGAGGUUAGAGAGACAUGAGAGAGGGGUUAGUGAGACGUUAGAGAGACAGGACAGAGAGGUUAGAGAGCAAUGAGAGAGAGGUUAGAGAGACAGCAGAGAGAGGUCAGAGAGAAAGGAGAGAGAGGUUAGGGAGACGUUAGAGAGGUUAGAGAGACAGCAGAGAGGGGUUAGGGAGACGUUAGAGAGGUUAGAGAGACAGGAGAGAGAGGUUAAAGAGACAGGAGAGAGAGGUUAGAGAGACAGCAGAGAGGGGUUAGGGAGACGUUAGAGAGGUUAGAGAGACAGGAGAGAGAGGUUAAAGAGACAGGAGGGAGAGGUUAGAGAGAGGUUAGAGAGAAAGGAGAGAGAGAAAGGAGAGAGAGGUUAGAGAGACAGGAGAGAGAGGUUAGAGAGACAGGAAAGAGAGGUUAGAGAGACAGGAAAGCUGGUUGGAAAGACAGGAGAGGUUAGAGAGGGGUUAGAGAGGUUUGAGAGAGAGGUUAGAGAGACAGGUUAGAGAGACAGGAGAGAGAGGAUAGAGAGAGGCAGUACAAAAGGCAGUGAGAGGUUAGAGAGAGGCAGUACAAAAGGCAGUGAGAGGUAGUACAAAAGGCAGAGAAAGAUUAGAGAGAUGCAGUACAAAAGGCAGAGAGAGGUUAGAGAGAGGCAGUACAAAAGGCAGAGAGAGGUAGUACAAAAGGCAGAGAGAGGUUAGAGAGAGGCAGUACAAAAGGCAGAGAGAGGUUCGAGAGAGGCAGUACAAAAGGCAGAGAGACGCAGUACAAAAGGGAGAGAGAGGUUAGAGAAAUGCAGUACAAACGGCAGUGAGAGGUUAGAGAGAGGCAGUACAAAAGGCAGAGAGAGGUAGUACAAAAGGCAGAAAGAGGUUAGAGAGAGGCAGUACAAAAGGCAGAGAGAGGCAGUACAAAAGGGAGAGAGAGGUUAGAGAGAGUCAGUACAAAAGGCAGUGAGAGGUUAGAGAGAGGCAGUACAAAAGGCAGUGAGAGGUUAGAGAGAGGUAGUACAAAAGGCAGUGAGAGAUUAGAGAGAGGCAGUACAAAAGGCAGUGAGAGGUAGUACAAAAGGCAGAGAGAGGUUAGAGAGAGGCAGUACAAAAGGCAGUGAGAGGUAGUACAAAAGGCAGAGAGAGGUUAGAGAGAGGCAGUACAAAAGGCAGAGAGAGGCAGUACAAAAGGCAGAGAGAGGUAGUACAAAAGGCAGAGAGAGGUUAGGUGCCACUGUCCAGAAGCAAUGCCUGAUAGGUUACAGCUUGAAAAGCUGCCACUACUUUUUAUUUGUCAUCACAUACUGUUCAUGUGCAGUUUUACAGGGUCGGCCAUAGCUGUACCUCACCCCUGGAGCAAAUUACAUGAAAGUGCUUUGCUCAAGGGCACUUCAACAGAUGUUUCAGCUUGUCAGCUUGGGGAAUUGAACCAGCAACCUUUUGGUUACUGGCCCAAUGCUCUAACCACUAGGCUACCUGUUGCCCGUAAUGUGUCACUUUCUCAACCCCAUAUCUGGCCAGAAAUACUAGGAGUUUAACAUUGUGCUUUCCUGUUUACAUGACAAUUGAUCGUAUGCCACAGAUGAUAUGAUUAUCACUGUUCAGGAAGUGACAAUAACUCAAGCUUACUCAGAAACUGUGCAUAGCGUUAUACCUUAAAGGGGCAAUCUGCAGUUGCAACAUACAUUUUUGGACUUGAAUGAAUUCUAAAUGAAUGAUAUUCUUGAAGAAUAUAACAUAUACAGUUAAUUAUUUGGUCACCUACAAACAAGCAAGAUUUCUGGCUCUCACAGACCUGUAACUUCUUCUUUAAGAGGCUCCUCUGUCCUCCACUCAUUACCUGUAUUAAUGGCACCUGUUUGAACUUGUUAUCAGUAUAAAAGACACCUGUCCACAACCUCAAACAGUCACACUCCAAACUCCACUAUGGCCAAGACCAAAGAGAUGUCAAAGGACACCAGAAACAAAAUUGUAGACCUGCACCAGGCUGGGAAGACUGAAUCUGCAAUAGGUAAGCAGCUUGGUUUGAAGAAAUCAACUGUGGGAGCAAUUAUUAGGAAAUUGAAGAAAUACAA